rnacentral:lncRNA from 1 species
GUUUAAGGAGGGUUCUGAAAUAUAUAUUAACUAUUGUUGGAUCAAUUUGGGUUAGCCUAGAUUGGGAAUUUAAUGAUCAUUCAAUCCAUAUUAGAAAUAAGUCAUGUUUUUGACUUCAAGCUUAAUUCACAUACAAUUGAGUUGGAUUGGAGCCGAUUAAUAUUGGGUUGUUUCUAGAUUGGAAUGGGAUCAAUUUAAUCCACUUUGCAGGCCUUUUACCACCUCCAUGACUUUACUAACUAUAAAUAAAGGGUAAAUUAUGCAUUUGGUCCUCCAAGUUUAGGUUGGGUUAAGUUUCUAAACUUCAAAAAGCUCAAAUUUGGUUCCUAUUUUUUCUCAACUGUUUUAAUAUAGUCUUUUCCUCGGAUUCUAACCAUUUUCUCUCAUCAGAAGUCCCCACCGGCAUUAUUCGGUGUUUAUGUGGCUGAUUACAUAGCAAAAACUGCUUAAAUAGAUGAUUAUGUGACCAAUUGGUGAUGAUGUGGUAUGUGGGUGAUGCUGCGGU